AUUGAACGCUGGCGGCAGGCUUAACACAUGCAAGUCGAGCGAGCGGCGGACGGGUGAGUAAUGUCUGGGAAACUGCCUGAUGGAGGGGGAUAACUACUGGAAACGGUAGCUAAUACCGCAUACCAUCAGAUGUGCCCAGAUGGGAUUAGCUAGUGGGUGGGGUAAUGGCUCACCUAGGCGACGAUCCCUAGCUGGUCUGAGAGGAUGACCGCCAAAACUGGAAUGGAGACACGGUCCAGAUGCCUACGUGAGGAAGCAGUGGGGAAUAUUGGACAAUGGGCGAAAGCCGGAUGCAGCCAUUCCGCGUGGGUGAAGAAGGCCUUCGGGUUGUAAAGCACUUUCAGCGAGGAGGCGUUACUCGCAGAAGAAGCACCGGCUAACUCCGUGCCAGCAGCCGCGGUAAUUC
rnacentral:rRNA from 1 species